rnacentral:misc_RNA from 1 species
AUAGAGGUAAGUCUAUCUUUCUUGUCCAAGGUUUGAAACACUAGUGAGUUUUAUUACUCUCUAAAAUCUAGCUUCGCUCAACUCGAUAAAGAAAUUUGUUGCUGGUUUGGUAGAACCCGAAGUUUCUUUUUGUGUCUUCUACCCCCAGCCGGCCUUCUAAAUUCCCCGCUUCUCACCCCAAUCAAAAGAUAAAAUAAGUAUAACUUGCAAAAAAUGAAGAUCUGGAUGUAGUAGUAAUAAGUGUGAACUGACUAGUGGGUCUUACAUUGACUUGUUAAUGG